ensembl:antisense Gm11684 predicted gene 11684
UCACUUCGCCGCACGGAGAAGACAAGGGAUGAUCAGUGGACGUGCAGGGGAGAGAAGCUCUGGCUAGCCCCGGAUGCUGAGGGCUGCUGUGAAGAGUCUCUAGCUUCUGGGAUGCAUUCAAACUGUAAGAACAAAUUAUGCUGUCCCUAGGAUUCUGGGGGCUCAACAGAAUCAAGGGGCAAUCAAAUAGUGGAAGAGAAAAGUCACCAGCACCUUUAUAGAGAAGACAGCAUUCGAGAUGAAACUAGAUCCUGAGAUCAAAAAGCCCUGUGCCCAGGAAACUCCUGACAAAGUGAGGUGUCCCUCAGGCCCAACCGCCUUCACAGAGCUGGCCACGUCAGCCUGAUUCCUGGACCGUCAGGACUCCCGGGAAAGCUGCUUGGACCUUCGGAUGCGGAGAAAUGACAAGGCUUUUCUAUUUAAAUACGGGUUUGUUGUGGCAGACCCGCACAGCUGUUGUCGAAAUCAAAGAUCAGUUUUUUGAGAUUAUUUUUACAACCUGUGUCAGGGUAACCGCUUCCGGAAAACAUCUGUUCUAUAAUUAGAAAAUGAAGAUCUUGUCAAUCCGUUGGAGCAUAAUUACUUUCGGGCACCAGACGGAGGAUUUUAGUAUCAUCAUGAGAAUUCAGGGGGGUUACUCAGACGAGUAUAUUUUUCUUUUAGUUUCUUCUAAGGUAACUGGGAGAGUUCAGGGGGAAAGCCCCUACGUAUUUGCAUUUUAUAGGAUGCAAUAGAAUGAAUCAAAUCUGCAUGGACU